rnacentral:misc_RNA from 1 species
AGCACAAGAAAGGCUGCUAAAAUGAUAUUUUAUUCUCUUACUUGUUCUCAGUUAGACGAAAACAAGAAAUCAAGAAAGUGUCAAGAAAGUGUACUACAAUGAAGAUUGUUCCUAAGAUCAUCAUUUAAUGUGAUCUUGUCUUAUAUUUUUCCCUUCUUUCAUGGAUGGUGUUGUUGAAAAAGGAGAAGGCUCCCAUAUUUCUG